rnacentral:rRNA from 1 species
UACAGAGGUCUCAAGCGUUGUUCGGAAUCACUGGGCGUAAAGGGUGCGUAGGCGGCGGGGAAAGUCAGAUGUGAAAUCCGGAGGCUCAACCUCCGAAUGGCAUCCGAUACUACCUCGCUAGAGAUUUGUAGAGGAGCUUGGAAUUCUCGGUGUAGCAGUGAAAUGCGUAGAUAUCGAGAAGAACGCUCGCAGCGAAGGCGAAGCUCUGGGCAAAUUCUGACGCUGAUGCACGAAGGCUAGGGGAGCAAACGGG